UCUCCUGUGGUUGUGGCGUUCAGGGUCCCGUGUCAGGCAGAGACGAAAUACCGCAGAGUAUCAGGCGCUCCUUACCCGGCCAAUGCCGUAUGAAAUGGAUUUUUAGAAUGAUCUUUAUGAAAAUUGGUUAAAAUGGAAAAGAGAGAUAAGCUGCUGCUUUUCUGCAAAUUUCCCUUAUCUGAAAGAUGUCGGCCCCACCAUACAGGAUGAGUGACUCCAGCUGAUGGAUGGGUCGAAAUGAAACAGAAAUUGGGGUUCGAACACUGGGUCUUCAGCAGCCAAGGUAACUAGAACACAAUAAAUGCUCAAUAAACCCCUUCUUUACCAGCACAAAUGAAGGACGGCGUUCAAACCUUGUACUUCAUGUCAGAAAGCCAGACUCUCAAGUAUUUCCAUGGGGUAAUAAUUGGUCACAGAAACAUAUUGAUAUACGUGGCAUCCGGUUGACUGGAGAUGGUGUAAAACAAACAGUUGGCAAAUGGACUCCUGAAGAAAGGAAUUCCAUAAAGUCCACAAAACUAACAAGCGGACAGUGGGACCUGCUUUGCUAGUGGCAUUUGGUGUGGCAGCGUGGCUCAACAACAGAGAAGCAAAGAAACUUAGAUCGAGACUCCAGCCAAUGACAGUCUGUGACACCCAAAGGAGCAGAAUGCUGGGUGGAUUCUGAGGAGAAACAAGGCUGGAAGGAGCCUGAGGAA